rnacentral:snRNA from 1 species
GGCUUGGUGUUGAAGGCCUCCUCACAAUAGAGAAGAUUAGCAUGGACCCUGGGCAAGGAGGACACACAAAUCUGUGAAACAGUCCAUAUUUUU